rnacentral:rRNA from 1 species
UACAGAGGGGGCAAGCGUUAUUCGGAAUUACUGGGCGUAAAGGGCGCGUAGGCGGCGUGACAAGUCACUUGUGAAAUCUCCGGGCUUAACUCGGAACGGUCAAGUGAUACUGUCGUGCUAGAGUACAGAAGGGGCAACUGGAAUUCUCGGUGUAGCGGUGAAAUGCGUAGAUAUCGAGAGGAACACCUGCGGCGAAGGCGGGUUGCUGGGCUGAUACUGACGCUGAGGCGCGAAAGCCAGGGGAGCGAACGGG